rnacentral:rRNA from 1 species
UACGUAGGGUGCGAGCGUUGUCCGGAAUUAUUGGGCGUAAAGGGCUCGUAGGCGGUUUGUCGCGUCGGGAGUGAAAACUCAGGGCUCAACCCUGAGCGUGCUUCCGAUACGGGCAGACUAGAGGUAUGCAGGGGAGAACGGAAUUCCUGGUGUAGCGGUGAAAUGCGCAGAUAUCAGGAGGAACACCGAUGGCGAAGGCAGGUCUCUGGGCCAUAACUGACGCUGAGAAGCGAAAGCAUGGGGAGCGAACAGG